rnacentral:rRNA from 1 species
AAUUCCGAGACAGGUGCUGCAUGGCUGUCGUCAGCUCGUGCCGUGAGGUGUUGGGUUAAGUCCCGCAACGAGCGCCAACCCCUAUUGCCAGUUGCUACCAGGUAAUGCUGGGCACUCUGGUGAGACUGCCCCGGUUAACGGGGAGGAAGGUGGGGACGACGUCAAGUCAUCAUGGCCCUUACGCCUAGGGCUACACACGUACUACAAUGGCGCAUACAAAGGGCAGCGAUACCGCGAGGUGGAGCCAAUCCCAAAAAGUGCGUCCCAGUCCGGAUUGCAGUCUGCAACUCGACUGCAUGAAGUUGGAAUCGCUAGUAAUUCGAGAUCAGCAUGCUCGGGUGAAUGCGUUCCCGGGCCUU